rnacentral:misc_RNA from 1 species
GAUGAAGAACGCAGCGAAAUGCGAUAAGUAAUGUGAAUUGCAGAAUUCAGUGAAUCAUCGAAUCUUUGAACGCACAUUGCGCCCCUUGGUAUUCCGAGGGGCAUGCCUGUUCGAGCGUCAUUAUAACCCCUCAAGCUCAGCUUGGUGUUGGGGCCUGCCGCACGGGCAGCCCUUAAAAUCAGUGGCGGUGCCAUCUGGCUCUAAGCGUAGUAAUUCUUCUCGCUAUAGAGUCCCGGUGGAUGCUUGCCAUUAACCCCCAAUUUUCUAUGGUUGACCUCGGAUCAGGUAGGGAUACCCGCUGAACUUAAGCAUAUCAAUCGGAGGA